rnacentral:rRNA from 1 species
UACGUAGGGUGCGAGCGUUAAUCGGAAUUACUGGGCGUAAAGCGUGCGCAGGUGGUUGUGUAAGCCAGAUGUGAAAUCCCCGGGCUUAACCUGGGAAUGGCAUUUGGGACUGCACGGCUAGAGUGUGGCAGAGGGGGGUGGAAUUCCGCGUGUAGCAGUGAAAUGCGUAGAGAUGCGGAGGAACACCGAUGGCGAAGGCAGCCCCCUGGGUUAACACUGACACUCAUGCACGAAAGCGUGGGGAGCAAACAGG